AUACGUAGGGGGCGAGCGUUGUCCGGAUUUACUGGGCGUAAAGGGUGAGUAGGCGGUUGUAUAAGUCAGAUGUAAAAGGCGUAGGCUCAACUUACGUAAGCAUUUGAAACUGUACAACUUGAGUGCAGGAGAGGUAAGUGGAAUUCCUAGUGUAGCGGUGAAAUGCGUAGAUAUUAGGAGGAACACCAGUGGCGAAGGCGACUUACUGGACUGUAACUGGACGCUGAGUCACGAAAGCGUGGGUAGC
rnacentral:rRNA from 1 species